rnacentral:rRNA from 1 species
UACGUAGGGUGCAAGCGUUAAUCGGAAUUACUGGGCGUAAAGCGUGCGCAGGCGGUGAUGUAAGUCACUUGUGAAAUCUCCGGGCUUAACCCGGAGCGGCCAAGUGAUACUGUCGUGCUAGAGUGCGGAAGGGGCUACUGGAAUUCCUGGUGUAGCGGUGAAAUGCGCAGAUAUCAGGAGGAACACCGGUGGCGAAGGCGGUUCUCUGGGCAUUACCUGACGCUGAGGAGCGAAAGUGUGGGGAGCGAACAGG